rnacentral:rRNA from 1 species
UAACACGUGAGUAACCUGCCCUUAACUCUGGGAUAAGCCUGGGAAACUGGGUCUAAUACCGGAUAGGAGCGCCUACCGCAUGGUGGGUGUUGGAAAGAUUUAUCGGUUUUGGAUGGACUCGCGGCCUAUCAGCUUGUUGGUGAGGUAAUGGCUCACCAAGGCGACGACGGGUAGCCGGCCUGAGAGGGUGACCGGCCACACUGGGACUGAGACACGGCCCAGACUCCUACGGGAGGCAGCAGUGGGGAAUAUUGCACAAUGGGCGCAAGCCUGAUGCAGCGACGCCGCGUGAGGGAUGACGGCCUUCGGGUUGUAAACCUCUUUCAGUAGGGAAGAAGCGAAAGUGACGGUACCUGCAGAAGAAGCACCGGCUAACUACGUGCCAGCAGCCGCGGUAAUACGUAGGGUGCGAGCGUUAUCCGGAAUUAUUGGGCGUAAAGAGCUCGUAGGCGGUUUGUCGCGUCUGUCGUGAAAGUCCGGGGCUUAACCCCGGAUCUGCGGUGGGUACGGGCAGACUAGAGUGCAGUAGGGGAGACUGGAAUUCCUGGUGUAGCGGUGGAAUGCGCAGAUAUCAGGAGGAACACCGAUGGCGAAGGCAGGUCUCUGGGCUGUAACUGACGCUGAGGAGCGAAAGCAUGGGGAGCGAACAGGAUUAGAUACCCUGGUAGUCCAUGCCGUAAACGUUGGGCACUAGGUGUGGGGACCAUUCCACGGUUUCCGCGCCGCAGCUAACGCAUUAAGUGCCCCGCCUGGGGAGUACGGCCGCAAGGCUAAAACUCAAAGGAAUUGACGGGGGCCCGCACAAGCGGCGGAGCAUGCGGAUUAAUUCGAUGCAACGCGAAGAACCUUACCAAGGCUUGACAUGUUCUCGAUCGCCGUAGAGAUACGGUUUCCCCUUUGGGGCGGGUUCACAGGUGGUGCAUGGUUGUCGUCAGCUCGUGUCGUGAGAUGUUUGGGUUAAGUCCCGCAACGAGCGCAACCCUCGUUCCAUGUUGCCAGCACGUAAUGGUGGGGGA